rnacentral:tRNA from 1 species
UCUUUGGUGGCUCAGAGGUUAAAGUGUCUGCCUACAAUGCAGGAGACCUGGGUUCAAUCCCUGACUCAGAA